rnacentral:rRNA from 1 species
AUCUUUGCGAGUCUUAGUCGGCAGCGCUUGGCAACCUGGCGGUCCAGCGGCGAACGGGUGAGUAAUGCAUCGGUAACAUGUCCAUGUCGUGGGGGAUAGCCCGGCGAAAGCCGGAUUAAUACCGCAUACGCCCGAGAGGGGAAAGUGGGGGACCGCAAGGCCUCACGCGAUUGGGUUGGCCGAUGUCCGAUUAGCUAGUUGGCGGGGUAAAGGCCCACCAAGGCGAUGAUCGGUAGCUGGUCUGAGAGGAUGAUCAGCCACACUGGGACUGAGACACGGCCCAGACUCCUACGGGAGGCAGCAGUGGGGAAUUUUGGACAAUGGGGGCAACCCUGAUCCAGCCAUUCCGCGUGAGUGAAGAAGGCCUUCGGGUUGUAAAGCUCUUUUGUCCGGAACGAAACGGUGGACGUGAAUAUCGUCCAUUACUGACGGUACCGGAAGAAUAAGCACCGGCUAACUACGUGCCAGCAGCCGCGGUAAUACGUAGGGUGCGAGCGUUAAUCGGAAUUACUGGGCGUAAAGCGUGCGCAGGCGGUUUUGUAAGCCAAAUGUGAAAUCCCCGGGCUUAACCUGGGGAAUGGCAUUUUGGGACUGCAAGGCUCGAGUGCGGCAAAAGAAACUGGGAAUUCCCCGGUGUUACCAAUGAAAUGC